rnacentral:lncRNA from 1 species
GUAUAUGUAAAAUUACUUGAAAAUUUUCACUGAACGUUUAACAAAGGAAUACACAUGUAUGUACAUAGUAUUAUUAAAACAACAACAACAUAAAGCAGUAUAGUCCCAUUAACUGGGGUCUGGGGAGGGUAGAGCAUACACAAACUACCUCAAAGUUAGAGAGACUGUUUCCGAUAGACCUCGACUCAAGAAAAAUAGUUCAGAAAGAGAUGCCCUAUUAUUGAAAAUUUAGAGAAAUUACAUCUCUUUGGAAGCCACAGAAUAAUGCUAAAACAUAGUAAUGUAAUGGCAAAUUUAAAGUUUAAACAAUAUGAAAAUGAAAUCCUUCAACUUCAAUCCUUCUUCUCUUGAAGUACUCCUUAGCUAAUGUCAGUCUGACUCAAACGCCACUCCCGCACUUUAGCUGUAGGAAAGAAACACAAAAGGUCAGUAGUAGUUUUACACAAGUCACAACUCACAAGCAUCCAAAGGCGGAUUUCAGUUAUGCUUUUGAUCAUUAGUCGUAUAGGAAAGAUGCAGUUGAAUAACGAUAGAGAUCCAAAACAAUUAGAGUAUAAAAGAAUUGUGAUCUGUUUAUUGAAUAAUAAAACUGUAGGAUUUACAAGAUAUUUAUACAAGUAAUAGAGUCCUAAUUAUCUACUGAUUUCAAGCUAAUGACCGUUAGCCAUAAUGGGAGAUCCCUGAUUUUGGGGGAGAUCCCUGAUCUAGUGUCGAUAAAUAAGGUAUAGUCAACAGCAUCAACGGUCAGUUAUACGUUUAUAGAACCACAGAUAUCUUAGAUCAGCCACAGGAGGACAGGUGUGAGGUGGAAUGGAAUAAAAUUCAGUAACCUUAAGAAAUAUGUACUUACAUGAGAUACGAACAUCCACUGGAUUAUUUCCGAUGUCUUCUUGUUCUUGUUGAAUUCUUGUGGCAGAAGCCUCGAGAUGGGGCUUACAGUCC